UAGGAUGACUGCCCUUACUAAAAAGGCCCAGGAAAGUUCGCUGUCCCUUUCUACCUUGUGAAGUUUCAGUGAAAAACAACAAUGUAGGAAGCAGGCCCUCAAGAGACACCAAAUCUGCCAACACCUUGAUCUUGGGUUUUCCAUCCUCCAGAACUAAAUACAAGAGUGUCGAAGAGAAAAUGUGCAAGUUCACCUGGUCAAUAAAGCGACUCUAUUCAGGUGAAGAGGCAAGCAGGACAAACCAGGACAGGCCUGGAGGCCUAAGGAAGGGGCUUGUCUUUAGCUCAAGAGCUACAGAGAAAGAUGAAGAAAUCAAGACUCAGAGAUGUUAAUUACCUAACUCAAGACCAUCCAAUUAUUAAGUUUAUGAUGCAGUGGGGAAAAAAAAAAAAUCAAUCCCAGGUGUGACUCCAAAGAUGAACUCCAACCAUCAACCCAUAUUUCCCAUGUCUGGGUAUGUAAGGCUCUCAGCCACUUCUUGUGUAAUCUGUAUCAUAUCAAACCUAAAAUAAGUUUAGUGGGCAAUAGUAGUUUUCAGUGAAUCCUUCAUAAUUAUUUUUUUUUAAAAACUUUUAUUUAUGCAGAGUAAGCAAACUGAAGUAUAGCUGACACACAAUGCCACAUUAGUUUCAGAUGUACAACACAAUUCCAAAGUUUAUUCAUUAUGCUAUGCUCAGCAUACAUGUAGUUACAUCUGUCACUAAGAAUGCUAUUACAA